CUAUUGGGGUCCGAUUUAGCCAUGCUAGUUGCACGAGUUUAGACUCGUGGCGAAAAGCUCAGUAACACGUGGUCAAACUACCCUACGAAGACCCAUAACCUCGGGAAACUGAGGCUAAUAGGUCAUAGGUGAGUUACGCUGGAAUGCCAACUCUCCCAAACGCUCAGGCGUCGUAGGAUGUGGCUGCGGCCGAUUAGGUAGACGGUGGGGUAACGGCCCACCGUGCCGAUAAUCGGUACGGGUUGUGAGAGCAAGAGCCCGGAGACGGAAUCUGAGACAAGAUUCCGGGCCCUACGGGGCGCAGCAGGCGCGAAACCUUUACACUGCACGCAAGUGCGAUAAGGGGACCCCAAGUGCGAGGGCAUAUAGUCCUCGCUUUUUCCGACCGUAAGGUGGUCGGCGAAUAAGGGCUGGGCAAGACCGGUGCCAGCCGCCGCGGUAAUACCGGCAGCCCAAGUGAUGACCGAUAUUAUUGGGCCUAAAGCGUCCGUAGCCGGCCAUGAAGGUUCAUCGGGAAAUCCGCCAGCUCAACUGGCGGG
rnacentral:rRNA from 1 species